AUGGUUGAAGAUGAUGGUUGCUGCUCAGCAAUGUUCAGGAGAAAGGGAAUCAAUAAUCACCGGUGGAGGAGAAAGGAUGGAAUCUUCUGGCUCAAACUGGCCACGGCCAAAGCACAGGCACAAUUAUUAAUAGCAGACGAGAAAGUUGGGAUAGCGGGUUGCGGCAACCCUCUGCUAUGGAUGAGUGACACGCAUCCAAGUUUUGGAUAG